rnacentral:rRNA from 1 species
AUUGAACGCUGGCGGCAGGCUUAACACAUGCAAGUCGAGCGGAGAUGAGGUGCUUGCACCUUAUCUUAGCGGCGGACGGGUGAGUAAUGCUUAGGAAUCUGCCUAUUAGUGGGGGACAACAUUCCGAAAGGAAUGCUAAUACCGCAUACGUCCUACGGGAGAAAGCAGGGGACCUUCGGGCCUUGCGCUAAUAGAUGAGCCUAAGUCGGAUUAGCUAGUUGGUGGGGUAAAGGCCUACCAAGGCGAUGAUCUGUAGCGGGUCUGAGAGGAUGGUCCGACACACUGGGACUGAGAAACGGCCCAGACUCCUACGGGAGGCAGCUGUGGGGAAUAUUGGACAAUGGGCGGAAGCCUGAUCUAGCCAUGCCGCGUGUGUGAAGAAGGCCUUAUGGUUGUAAAGCACUUUAAGCGAGGAGGAGGCUACUUUAGUUAAUACCUAGAGAUAGUGGACGUUACUCGCAGAAUAAGCACCGGCUAACUCUGUGCCAGCAGCCGCCGUAAUAC